UCAGACGAUGCGUCAUGCAUAUCAAUAAGCGGAGGAAAAGAAACUAACAAGGAUUCCCUUAGUAACGGCGAGUGAAGCGGGAAGAGCUCAAAUUUGAAAUCUUCAAGGUUUUACCUUGACGAAUUGUAGUUUAAAGAAGUGUUUUCUGUUGAAGUUUUGGUAAAAGUUCUUUGGAAUAGGACAUCAUAGAGGGUGAGAAUCCCGUAUUUGACCAUUAUUUUCAGCUGUGUGAUACACUUUCAAAGAGUCGGAUUGUUUGGGAAUGCAGUCCAAAAUGGGUGGUAAAUUUCAUCUAAAGCUAAAUAUUGGCGAGAGACCGAUAGCGAACAAGUACCGUGAGGGAAAGAUGAAAAGAACUUUGAAAAGAGAGUUAAACAGUACGUGAAAUUGUCAAAAGGGAAGCGUUUGACACCAGUGUUGUUUUCUCGAAAAUCAAUUAAAAAGAGUUUAGAUUUUGUUGUGUAUUGACCUUAACAGCUUGCAUUUCAAUUUUCUUGCUUUUUUUAAUGCACUUUUCGUUUAACAAGUCAACAUCAGUUUCUUUUGUUGUAAAAAGGUCAUUGGAAGGUGGCUUUCUUUUCGGAGAAAGUGUUUAUAGCCUUUGACUCCUGCAAUCGGAGAGACUGAGGUCUGCAGCGUAGAUCCUUCGGGGUUAGAUACAUUUGUGCUAAGUUAUAGCUUUUUAUAGACAACUUGUUGACUAUGAUUAGUCUUGUAGCUUACUCGCUUAUGCUAUUUUACCUACGCUUAGGAUGUUGAGUCGUAGAGCACGCAG
rnacentral:rRNA from 1 species